CGGGCCAAUUCAUUACCAUCGUGACAGUUGGUAUCAGAGCCAAGGUUGAGGUUAACUUCUUUGAGCAUUCAUCAUGUCUGGCAGCACAGGGACUGAGCAACCCACCAUCACCUCCUCACAAGCCCCACCCACGGGGAAGAAGGGUAGGGAGAAAUCCCGAGAUGUCAUUACUGCGUUGGAGGAGAGACUCGCCCAUUUGGAGGGCAUUGUGUCGGAGCAAAGGGAUAGGAGCGACGACCUUGAUAUGCGUCUCACCGAGCUCGAGUCCAAGGGGGACGAGGUUGAGCUGAGGGCUGAGAUGCAAGGGGCUCUCAACAUAGCAGUAGACGUCCUGUCGAAAAAGGAUCAAGCCAUGGAGGCCAUCCUACUUGCCUACCGGGAGAAGGUAGACAAGCUAGAGGAGGAGCUUGCAUUGU
rnacentral:misc_RNA from 1 species